UACGAAGGGGGCUAGCGUUGUUCGGAUUUACUGGGCGUAAAGCGCACGUAGGCGGGUUGUUAAGUCAGGGGUGAAAUCCUGGAGCUCAACUCCAGAACUGCCUUUGAUACUGGCAACCUAGAGGCUGGAAGAGGUUAGUGGAAUUCCCAGUGUAGAGGUGAAAUUCGUAGAUAUUGGGAGGAACACCGGUGGCGAAGGCGGCCAUCUGGACGGAUACUGACGCUGAGACGCGAAAGCGUGGGGAGCAAACAGG
rnacentral:rRNA from 1 species